rnacentral:lncRNA from 1 species
AUGAUUCUCCUGCCUCAGCCUCCUGAGUAGCUGGGAUUACAGGUGUGUGCCACCACGCCUAGCUAAUUUUUUGUAUCUUUAGUAGAGAUGGGGUUUCACCAUGUUGGCCAGGCUGGUCUCGAUCUCUUGACCUCGUAAUUCGCCCACCUAGGCCUCCCAAAGUGCUGGGAUUACAGGCAUGAGCCACCACGCCCAGCCGAUUAGUACUGUUUUAUGCAGUCAAUAUUUGUGCACAUUUGUCUGCAUAUUUACCGCUUUCUCUGCUCCCUAUUCUUUUUGUGACCUCUGACCUUCUAUCUGGAUCGGGUCCCUUCCACCUCAAGUACCUGUGUUAGAGUUUUCUUUAGUGAAGGUUUGCUGGUGGUGAACUUUCUCAGUUUUUAUUUGCCACAAAGUGUCUGUAUUUUGCCUUCAUUAUUGAAAACAGGAUUCCCAGGAUUCUAGUCCCAGCUCUCUCAUCAUAGCUGCUGUGUGACUAUAGCCUAGUCCUGUCUUUUUGGAACUCAAGUUCCCCAGGGGUGAACCAAGAGGAAGGGCUAAUCAUCUCCCCUCCUGCCACCAGCUCAUGUGACCAAGUCCCAGUGUUGUGUCUGUACGGGGAAGUUUGUUAUCAGAGUUGCUGAAGUUACUCAAGGCCCCUGAAGAGCUGGGUGAUAGAGAGUGAGCUGAUGAGAUGAAGCUGCCUCCCCAGAAGCCACAGUCUUCAGAAUCUACUGCCUCUAAAGUUACCACAGCCAUAGCACCUAGAUGUCAGAGAAGAACACAGGAAGAAAAACCCAGAGGUACUUGUCAAUUUCACAGAAAUUUCCAAGAAGUGCUCUGAGAGGUGGAAGGCAAUGUGUGGAAAAGAGAAGUCUAAGCCUGAUGAAAUGACUGAGGUGGUUGAAGUACUCUAUGAUUGAGAAACAAAGGAUUACAGACCAGCUAAGGGAGGCAAGAAGAGGACUCUAAAGCCCCCAAAAGGCUACCAUCUGGAUUCUUCCUGUUCUGUUCAGUAUUCCACCCCAAGGACAAAUCCACAAACCCUGGCAUCUCUAUUGGAGAUGUGGCAAAAAAGCUGAGUGAGAUAUGGAACAACUUGAGUGACAGUGCAAAGCAGCCUGACAUCACUAAGGCAGUGAACUGAAGAAGUGUGAGAAGGGUGUCACUGACUCUAAGUCUCAAGGAAAGUUUGAUGGCGCCAAAGUUAAAAUUGCCUGAAAAAGGUAGACGAGGAAGAGGAUGAAUUAAAAAACCUGUUUAUCCAUCUCCUUGUCAAUAUCUUAGAGCAGAGGAAUGUCAGAAUUCAGGAGUCCCCAACCCCUGGUCCAUGGACCAGUACUCACCUGUGGCCUGUUAGGAACCAGGCAUCACAGCAGGAGGUGAGCGGUGGGUGAGCAAGUAUUACCACCUGAGCCUCCUGUUGGAUCAGCGGUGGCAUUAGAUUCUCAUGGGAGCCUGAACCCUGUUGUAAACUGCGUGUGAGCGGGAUAUAGGUUGAGUGCUCUUUAAGAGAAUCUAACUAAUGCCUGAUUAUCUGAGGUGGAACAGUUUCAUCCCAAAACCAUCCCCCUUGCCCCCACCCCCGGCCCGUCUGUGGAAAAUUUUCUUCUGUGAAACCGGUCGCUGGUGCCAAAAAGGUUGAGGACCGCUGCUGUAAUUGACUCAUCUCUUAUUUGAGAAGUAUCUGUUGCCCUCAUUAGUUUUACUUACAAAAUUUGAUCACGAUCAUGUUGUAGUCUCUCAGAGCGCUCCAGAAACUGUCAGUGGUUUACAUAAAGUGGCCAUGGGUGUCCAGAGCACCCUGAAACUGUAUCAAAGUUGUACAUAAUUCCAAACCUUUUUUUUGUUGUUUGUUUGUUUUUUUGAGACAGGGUCUUGCUCUGUCGCCCAAGCUGGUGUGCAGUGGUGUGAUCUCGGCUCACUGCAGCCUCCACCUCCUGGGCUCAGGCGAAUCUCCCACCUCAGCUCCCCCGGUAGCUGGGAUUACAGGUGCAUGCCACCAUACAUGGCUAAUUUUUAAAUUUUUUGUAGAGAUGGUAUUUCACCAUGUCACCUAGGCUGGUCUUGAAAUCCUGGGCUCAAGCCAUUCACCGUUCGCCAGCCUUGGCCUCCCCAAGUGCUGGGAUUACAGGCAUGAGCCACGAUGCCCGGCCUCCAAACAUUUUAAAAUGAAAAGGCAUUCUCAUAUUCUCACUCUGUGCACUUUGCUGUUG